AUUGAACGCUGGCGGCAGGCCUAACACAUGCAAGUCGAGCGGAUGAAGGGAGCUUGCUCCUGGAUUCAGCUGCGGACGGGUGAGUAAUUCCUAGGAAUCUGCCUUGUAUUGGGGGAUAACGUCCGGAAACGGGCGCUAAUACCGCAUACGUCCUGAGGGAGAAAGUGGGGGAUCUUCGGACCUCACGCUAUCAGAUGAGCCUAGGUCGGAUUAGCUAGUUGGUUGGGUAAAGGCCUACCAAGGCGACGAUCCGUAACUGGUCUGAGAGGAUGAUCAGUCACACUGGAACUGAGACACGGUCCAGACUCCUACGGGAGGCAGCAGUGGGGAAUAUUGGACAAUGGGCGAAAGCCUGAUCCAGCCAUGCCGCGUGUGUGAAGAAGGUCUUCGGAUUGUAAAGCACUUUAAGUUGGGAGGAAGGGAAGUAAGUUAAUACCUUGCUGUUUUGACGUUACCAACAGAAUAAGCAACGGCUAACUUCGUG
rnacentral:rRNA from 1 species